rnacentral:rRNA from 1 species
GAUGAACGCUGGCGGCGUGCCUAAUACAUGCAAGUCGAGCGAACAGAUGAGGAGCUUGCUCCUCUGACGUUAGCGGCGGACGGGUGAGUAACACGUGGAUAACCUACCUAUAAGACUGGGAUAACUUCGGGAAACCGGAGCUAAUACCGGAUAAUAUAUUGAACCGCAUGGUUCAAUAGUGAAAGACGGUUUUGCUGUCACUUAUAGAUGGAUCCGCGCCGCAUUAGCUAGUUGGUAAGGUAACGGCUUACCAAGGCAACGAUGCGUAGCCGACCUGAGAGGGUGGUCGGCCACACUGGAACUGAGACACGGUCCAGACUCCUACGGGAGGCAGCAGUAGGGAAUCUUCCGCAAAGGGCGAAAGCCUGACGGAGCAACGCCGCGUGAGUGAUGAAGGUCUUCGGAUCGUAAAACUCUGUUAUUAGGGAAGAACAAAUGUGUAAGUAACUAUGCACGUCUUGACGGUACCUAAUCAGAAAGCCACGGCUAACUACGUG